rnacentral:rRNA from 1 species
AUUGAACGCUGGCGGCAUGCCUUACACAUGCAAGUCGAACGGUAACAGGUCUUCGGAUGCUGACGAGUGGCGAACGGGUGAGUAAUACAUCGGAACGUGCCCGAUCGUGGGGGAUAACGAGGCGAAAGCUUUGCUAAUACCGCAUACGAUCUACGGAUGAAAGCGGGGGAUCUUCGGACCUCGCGCGGACGGAGCGGCCGAUGGCAGAUUAGGUAGUUGGUGGGAUAAAAGCUUACCAAGCCGACGAUCUGUAGCUGGUCUGAGAGGAUGAUCAGCCAUACUGGGACUGAGACACGGCCCAGACUCCUACGGGAGGCAGCAGUGGGGAAUUUUGGACAAUGGGCGAAAGCCUGAUCCAGCCAUGCCGCGUGCAGGAUGAAGGCCUUCGGGUUGUAAACUGCUUUUGUACGGAACGAAAAGCCUCUUUCUAAUAAAGAGGGGUCAUGACGGUACCGUAAGAAUAAGCACCGGCUAACUACGUG